CAUGUUGUGCAAAGCAUAUGCCACAGUAUAGACUGCAUUGUAGAUGCUGUAGCUAUGGGAAGUCAUGCUCAUUUCAAAAAUAGAUGCUGGGAGAUUCUCCAGUUUCUCCUUACCAGUGCAGGAGACUCUUCCUUGCCUGUCUAUCGUGGACUCGGGAAACAAACAUCCAAAGGCCUCUUCCCAAAAACCCUGAAUGAAGCCAUCUUCUCCUUCAAAGCUAGCAUUUAUCAACCGAAGAAAGUCGGUGAAUCUCGGGACCUCCUUUGAAUGAACUGCUAAGGACAGGGCACCAUUAAGCAAGUCUAUGCCUUCCUUCCUUUGAAAUGGGAAUGAUGUGAAUUCCAUCUGAGCCGUCAUAAGAUAAAGAUUUGGAUACUCUGUCUCAGUCUAGAACAAGAACAAAGGUUUGACGACAAUCGCACAAGACAUCACCACCGAGAAAAUCAUGUACUAUGCAAAGAAAGAAGAUGUGUUUAUCCACACAUGAAGGAGGGGGAUAUUGAAGCACAGAGAAAAGACAUAUCUAGGGCACCUAUCGGUUUGGAGAAUCUGAAGUUUUGAAAUGGAUUAAUGACUGGCAGUAUAAAAUUAUAAUAAAUUCAGUAGGAAGGAGAUGUAGUUUGACAGUAAGCCGGCAUCAUGUAUUGAAUAUACAGUAGAUAAUGAUUAUCACAGCUAUGGCAUAAUGGUUGCUGUAGCUAUAGCCCCGUAUGUCUAAAUGGUAGAUUGUGAAAAAAUUGGAUACAAGAGUCACUGUGAGUUGAGAAGCCAUUAAAUUUGUUUAAUAAAUGAAUAACAG